GUGGGGAAUAUUGGACAAUGGGCGAAAGCCUGAUCCAGCCAUGCCGCGUGUGUGAAGAAGGUCUUCGGAUUGUAAAGCACUUUAAGUUGGGAGGAAGGGCAGUAAGUUAAUACCUUGCUGUUUUGACGUUACCGACAGAAUAAGCACCGGCUAACUUCGUGCCAGCAGCCGCGGUAAUACGAAGGGUGCAAGCGUUAAUCGGAAUUACUGGGCGUAAAGCGCGCGUAGGUGGUUUUGUAAGUUGGAGGUGAAAUCCCCGGGCUCAACCUGGGAACUGCCUACAAAACUGCAUGACUAGAGUACGGUAGAGGGUAGUGGAAUUUCCUGUGUAGCGGUGAAAUGCGUAGAUAUAGGAAGGAACACCAGUGGCGAAGGCGACUACCUGGACUGAUACUGACACUGAGGUGCGAAAGCGUGGGGAGCAAACAGGAUUAGAUACCCCGGUAGUCC
rnacentral:rRNA from 1 species